rnacentral:rRNA from 1 species
AACGCUGGCGGCGUGCCUAAUACAUGCAAGUAGAACGCUGAAGAGAGGAGCUUGCUCUUCUUGGAUGAGUUGCGAACGGGUGAGUAACGCGUAGGUAACCUGCCUGGUAGCGGGGGAUAACUAUUGGAAACGAUAGCUAAUACCGCAUAAGAGUAGAUGUUGCAUGACAUUUGCUUAAAAGGUGCAAAUGCAUCACUACCAGAUGGACCUGCGUUGUAUUAGCUAGUUGGUGAGGUAACGGCUCACCAAGGCAACGAUACAUAGCCGACCUGAGAGGGUGAUCGGCCACACUGGGACUGAGACACGGCCCAGACUUCCUACGGGAGGCAGCAGUAGGGAAUCUUCGGCAAUGGACGGAAGUCUGACCGAGCAACGCCGCGUGAGUGAAGAAGGUUUUCGGAUCGUAAAGCUCUGUUGUAAGAGAAGAACGAGUGCGAGAGUGGAAAUUCACACUGUGACGUAUCUAC